rnacentral:rRNA from 1 species
UACGUAGGGGGCGAGCGUUAUCCGGAUUUAUUGGUCGUAAAGGGUGCGUAGGCGGUUUAUUAAGUCUAAGAUUAAAGCCUGAGGCUUAACCUCAGUUCGUUUUAGAAACUGGUAGACUUGAGUAUGGUAGAGGCAAAUGGAAUUUCUAGUGUAGCGGUUAAAUGCGUAGAUAUUAGAAGGAACACCAGUGGCGAAGGCGGUUUGCUGCGCCAUUACUGACGCUGAGGCACGAAAGCGUGGGGAGCAAAUA